rnacentral:rRNA from 1 species
CUGGCUCAGGACGAACGCUGGCGGCGUGCCUAAUACAUGCAAGUCGAACGGUCUUUUCUAUGGAAGCUUGCUUCCACUGAGAAGAUAGUGGCGAACGGGUGAGUAACACGUGGGUAACCUGCCCAUAAGAGGGGGGAUAACAUCCGGAAACGGGUGCUAAUACCGCAUAGUUUUCUUGAUCGCAUGAUCGGGAAAGGAAAGACGGCCUUUGUGCUGUCGCUUAUGGAUGGACCCGCGGCGUAUUAGUUAGUUGGUGAGGUAACGGCUCACCAAGACGAUGAUACGUAGCCGACCUGAGAGGGUGAUCGGCCACAUUGGGACUGAGACACGGCCCAAACUCCUACGGGAGGCAGCAGUAGGGAAUCUUCCGCAAUGGACGAAAGUCUGACGGAGCAACGCCGCGUGAGUGAAAGAAGGUUUUCGGAUCGUAAAACUCUGUUGUCAGAGAAGAACAAGUUGGAGAGUAACUGCUCCAGCCUUGACGGUAUCUGACCAGAAAGCCACGGCUAACUACGUGCCAGCCGCCGC